rnacentral:tRNA from 1 species
GCAAUUGUAGCUCAGUGCCAGAGCAUCGGUUUUGUAAACCGAACGCCGGAGGUUAAAAUCCUCCCAACUGCU